rnacentral:rRNA from 1 species
GAUGAACGCUGGCGGCGUGCCUAACACAUGCAAGUCGAACGGAGUCGUUUUGGAAAUCUCUUCGGAGAUGGAAUUCUCGACUUAGUGGCGGACGGGUGAGUAACGCGUGAGCAAUCUGCCUUUAAGAGGGGGAUAACAGUCGGAAACGGCUGCUAAUACCGCAUAAAGCAUUAAAUUCGCAUGUUUUUGAUGCCAAAGGAGCAAUCCGCUUUUAGAUGAGCUCGCGUCUGAUUAGCUAGUUGGCGGGGUAACGGCCCACCAAGGCGACGAUCAGUAGCCGGACUGAGAGGUUGAACGGCCACAUUGGGACUGAGACACGGCGCAGACUCCUACGGGAGGCAGAAGUGGGGAAUAUUGCGCAAUGGGGGAAACCCUGACGCAGCAACGCCGCGUGAUUGAAGAAGGCCUUCGGGUUGUAAAGAUCUUUAAUCAGGGACGAAACAAAUGACGGUACCUGAAGAAUAAGCUCCGGCUAACUACGUG